rnacentral:rRNA from 1 species
AGAGUUUGAUCCUGGCUCAGGACGAACGCUGGCGGCGUGCUUAACACAUGCAAGUCGAGCGAUGAAGCACCUUCGGGUGUGAAUUAGCGGCGAACGGGUGAGGAACACGUGAGAAAUCUGCCUUCAACUCUGGGAUAACUCCGUGAAAACGGGGCUAAUACCGGAUAUGAGAUCUACAGGCAUCUGUGGAUCUGGAAAGUUUUUCGGUUGAAGAUGAUCUCGCGGCCUAUCAGCUUGUUGGUGAGGUAAUGGCUCACCAAGGCGACGACGGGUAGCCGGCCUGAGAGGGCGACCGGGCACACUGGGACUGAGACACGGCCCAGACUCCUACGGGAGGCAGCAGUGGGGAAUAUUGGGCAAUGGAGGAAACUCUGACCCAGCGACGCCGCGUGCGGGAUGAAGGCCUUCGGGUUGUAAACCGCUUUCAGCAGGGAAGAAGCGAAAGUGACGGUACCUGCAGAAGAAGCACCGGCUAACUAUGUGCCAGCCGCCGCGGUAAUUC